UUACUCGUUGGAUUGCCUCUAGGACUCACUUCAUUUCAGGGUGGGCGCUGCGCAUUUUCGUGACCGGGACGAAAUCACCGCGCAGAUGAGGCGCCUUGAGAGCGCUGGCAGCCUAGAGGCUUUGAAGGCUGUGAUGUGCAUUGCAGACUUUCCUCACCGUUAGACGUGGGAAACUACUUCCCGCCCCAGAAGUAGUUUGUUGUACUGCCCUCGUGAUCUGCCACUUUGAGCAGGUUUCCUAGUGGCGUCUAGAGAUGGGCGGCUUAAUUUUGUGACUUUAAAAUUAAUUGAAAAUUUAAAUCAAAAAAGUAAUUGGGGAAUUCCGUGGUUAGGAUUCGGCGCUUUCACUGUGGAGGCCCAGGUUUAAUCCCUGGUCAGGGAACUGAGAUACUGCAAGCCGCACAACACGGCCAAAACAAAACAACAAAAAAAGUAAUUGUUCCAGCAAGGAGCCAGAACCUGUGCCAUCAACAUCCGGCAUGAGUGAAAUGGCAGCUCGCCCUCUGUCUCCUAUUGCUGAUGACCCUGUAGCUCUAUCAUCGCUCGCCUCCACUCCCUCCUCCAGAACUAAGACCUCCCCCAACCCCACCACCCAGGUGGAGCAUGGUGACUACUUGCUGAGACCCCAGACUGGUUGGAACCAGAAAGUUGAUGAUUGACAUUCCUGGAACACCACUGUUACCUCACCACCACCCAAUUAGGAGAACGUGACACACCCCGCAGCCAUCACCCCAGAUGUUGCCUUUAAAAACUCUUCCCUGAAAACCGUCUGGGAGUUUGGGUCUUCUGAACACAAGCGGCCCAUUCUUGCUGGGCCCUGCAAUAAACCUUUCUCUGCUCCAAA